UACAGAGGUCUCAAGCGUUGUUCGGAUUCAUUGGGCGUAAAGGGUGCGUAGGUGGCGGGGUAAGUCAGGUGUGAAAUUUCGGAGCUCAACUCCGAAACUGCAUUUGAUACUGCCUUGCUUGAGGACUGGAGAGGAGACUGGAAUUCACGGUGUAGCAGUGAAAUGCGUAGAUAUCUGGAGGAAUACCGGUGGCGAAGGCGGCAUCCUGGACCGGCAUUGACGCUGAGGAGCGAAAGCUAGGGGAGCAAACGGG
rnacentral:rRNA from 1 species